AUGAACGCUGGCGGCGUGCCUAAUACAUGCAAGUCGAGCGAACUGAUUAGAAGCUUGCUUCUAUGACGUUAGCGGCGGACGGGUGAGUAACACGUGGGCAACCUGCCUGUAAGACUGGGAUAACUUCGGGAAACCGAAGCUAAUACCGGAUAGGAUCUUCUCCUUCAUGGGAGAUGAUUGAAAGAUGGUUUCGGCUAUCACUUACAGAUGGGCCCGCGGUGCAUUAGCUAGUUGGUGAGGUAACGGCUCACCAAGGCAACGAUGCAUAGCCGACCUGAGAGGGUGAUCGGCCACACUGGGACUGAGACACGGCCCAGACUCCUACGGGAGGCAGCAGUAGGGAAUCUUCCGCAAUGGACGAAAGUCUGACGGAGCAACGCCGCGUGAGUGAUGAAGGCUUUCGGGUCGUAAAACUCUGUU
rnacentral:rRNA from 2 species